CCUUAUUCAUAGGAAUUACUUUUUCUUAGUUAUAAAGAUAAAGAACCAAUAUUGAACUAAACUGCUAAAGUUGACAUGAACGCUGCUAGAAAAUAUCCAGUGAGUGAAUUCAUUUUUUAUGGGGAAAUGGGAAAGUGAUUUUCAAUAUAAUAAACUAGUCGAUAAGGCCCGUGGUGAAAUCCACUUAGGCAGGAGGGACAAUGUAAAAAUUGGUUAUUUUAGACCUUUUGCUGAUGUCAGCAGUGCAUAUGAAAAAACAAAUUGACGAAAUUCAUUUUAUCCGUUGUCCCUAUUGUGUAGAGCUCGACACGCUCAUGAAGAGAAUGUAUGUGAUCAUGUGAUUUUGAUGAACGGUUAAUGAUAUAUAAGGGUUUAAAAAUUAUGCUGACGUCAGCAAAGACCCGUGAAAACAAACAAAAUUAAUUUUUAGAAAUUUGUAUACCUGUUGGCUUCAACGUAUAGGUCUUUAAACGCUGAUCAAGAAAAUGUAUAGGAUCAUGUACUUUUGACAAACGGUUAUGGAAAUAUGGGGGGUUUAAUUGAUUUUUGAUGACGUCAUCAACCCGUCCAUUCCGAAACGGAUUCAGGGACCAAGGUUUGGGAAAAUUACCUAAAUUGGUCCUAUCUGGUCCCUAUUUACCCACGCGGGGAAAAAUUAUUGACACCACCUCGUUUCCAAGUUAUUUGGCCUCAAAUAUUUAAGUGCACUGUAUUGGCUUCAUUAAUUUAAAAUAGGAUAUUGACGUUAGUAGUAGUGUUAUUGACGUCGCGCCGUAAUGUCAUAAAAUUUAACAUUUGAGACAUACUUUUUUCGGCGACAUUAGAGAAAAUUUCGGCGACAUCAAAGGAAAAUGACGAUAUCCACUAUGACCGUCACAUACACUUCGUAUUAUUAUAAGAGAUAGAAAUGUUUUAUGUAGUUAUUUAUAUAACAAAUAAAGGUAUAAAAAUUAUUAUAUUGCAGCUUUUGGUAAUGGUACACAAAUGUUGCCCAAAAACUCUAAUUCAAGAUAUUUUAAACUUUGUUUCUAAUCCGUAAAUAGUAUCUGAAUAGUUUUUCUACUAUAUUUGAGCAUUGAUGCAACACAUUCCAACUGCUUGGCGAGAUUCGUGAACGAUGCCCAUCCCGGUGUGCCAAUUGUAAAAUGGUGUUACUGGUUCGUGACAAAGUGCCGUAUCUAGGCUUAAAGUCUCUAAAACUCAUAAAGACUAAUGAAGAGCUUAGAUACGAUUAUGGUGACAAAUGCAUGUUGUCUUUGAGAAAGCAGAAGAACUUGUGUGUGCCAUAACAUUUAAAAGAUAUAGAGAAUCAGCUAAAGAUCUCCCAUGCAAGUAUUCUGAAACUGAAGACCUCAAGAUGUUGCCGAUGAUGGUAUUUCUGAAUGUUGCAAGAUACGUUACACAUCACAACAACAUGUAUAUGUGCUGGCUUAAUUGCAAAGAUGAUUCACUAGCGAAAGUGUAGGGAGUCAGAACACUAUAUAUGGAAUAGGAACAUCUGGUUCAGAGCUGCCAAAAUUUAUCUGUUCUUCCAUCCACGAUAUUUAUUAAACAUUUGCAACAAACAUGCAUCAAACAUUCGCAAUAAGAUGAAAAUAAAUUUACACAAGUUAUUGACUUGAUCAAUUCAUGGCUUGAAAUUCAUUAAAAGUAUUAUAGAACAUUCAAUAUAUUGUUAGGUUAUGCUAUAAAUGUUUUUCUAUUUACAAAACAUAGCAUUUUAAUUGUAAUUCAUAUUUCUUCUUAUUGGAAAAAAGAUUAUAUUUUAUUAUAUAUUUUUGGCUCUUUACAAAGACAAGCUUGUCACGCAUGUCAGAAAAUUUGAGUGAGGAACAAUGAUGUUUUAUGAUCUCGCACGUUUGUGUCUAAAAUACUACCUCGUAGCCAGAACAAUUUACCUAGGACUUGUGACCAAUUUAGCCUGCUAGCAUUUUAACAAAGUUUAAAAACAAAUUGAUGGUGUAGCUAUAAGCUUCCCCUUAGGGCCUCCGUUAGCAAGUAUUUUGAAAAGUUGUCCUACAGAAUUUACGCCUAUCUUUUAUAGACGUUAUGUAGACGUAAAGGUGAUUCCUUAGUAAAUAAUUUAUUUAGGAAAUCUACGUUUGGUGGUGUUGUUGUUGUAAUGAUUGUAUUAGUGUAUGAAAAACUUUCCAUGAUUCCUAGUAGAUAUUGCACGAAAGGAUAUCGACUUUGAUAGUUUUAUGAAAGAAGAAGCUAAACAUUUAAACUUUGAAACUAUUUUUUCAGUUUGCUUUUAGGCGGCUAGCUAAUUAUUUCAUUUGCCAGGUUGGUCAUGUCAAACUCUUGUCUAUUUGUCACGCUUCCUCAAGUUUACCCGCAAGCUCAGAACCCUUUCUCAUUCUUUAACAAAAAUAGUCAAAUAUGUUUUCCAUCCUGGAAUUUGGCAUUGGAAAUCUACGAGUGAUGAUGUGAAUUAAUCCCAACAUCACUCGUGAAUUCUCAAGGCGUUUUUAGGUAGAAACGUACGAUUAGCGAUUUUUGUUACACAUGAUAGUAUGUAGUUCAUGGACAAAUGGUAUGUGUUCGCAACACGAAUUCUUUUUUACGCACAAGUAAAAGGAAAGUCUUUUAUACGUGAAAUUUUUAGUUUUUAUAAGGUGAGGUUUUUCUUGCAAGCAACACUUUUCCCAAUGGAAUUUAUCUCAUUAUGAAGUGAUCGAUAAAUAUAACUUAAAAUUGGUAGUAUUUAUUAACAUGGCUCUUAAUUUGUAACAACUAUAUUAACACUGACAUUGGCCAGCAUAAAAAUAAUCCUUCCCUUAUAAUCUCUUGAUCCAAACAAAAUUCUCCCUAGAUGUAUCUUCUGUAAUAUUGAAUCCAGGUAUAAAGUCCGUAGCUUCAUGCGAUAUACUCCUGUUAAGCGACCUUUAAUUACUGUAAGUAGCGGAUAUGCUUCUGUUUAAAUCUGCAGUUUUUGAUUCUUUUUAUAAGAUGCUAGUUUUUUUAAGGUUUCGUUUCCUUAAUUUGACGUUAAAUAAUCAUAUCUUUUCUGAAUUUAAUCGCGAUUCCUGAUUAAUCCUGAAAAUUUUGUAACUGAGAAAAUAUAUUUUUGUAAGCUGUAAAUACAACUUAUGAGAGGUGUAUAAAAAACGCAUUCAGCACCGCUCAUACAUUGCAUAUUGUGCUAUUCACAUGGAAGGCAAAUAAACUUGAGAAUUAGCUUUAACCUGAGAUUAACUAAAUGACAUUUUCACAUUUUUCAGGAAACUGUAAGUACAGCAAGUAGUGUGCCACAGCAAAAAUCUUUAUUUAGAGGCAAGAGAAGAAGUUUAUUUUGCGAUAAAGAUGUUCAACUGCUACGUCAAAAGUGCUCGGAUAUUAUUGCUAAUGGUCCUUUAACGAAACAAGGUGUCACUAAGGCGUUGGAAGGGGAAGAUAUACUAAAAAAUUUACUUUUGUACAAAUUCGUACUCGUUUGCACUACGAAAGAAAACAACUAUGAACACAUCUGUUCCAUGAACUUAUGCCAGUCAUUAAAACGAAUAACUCUUCGUUAAAAUUAUUAAACAUGUUAAUGUUCUGUUUUUGUUUCUUUACUAAUUGUUCUUAUAAUUGAUGUUGCAUGUUAUCCCAGAGGCAGCACUGCUAUCACGCACGAUACUGUACUUUCCUAACUUUGACGACGAUUAUAAUACUGAGUUAAUUUUUGACAACUAGUUUUAAUUAAUGAAACUAAGUUUUGCUAAGCUGACAUUUUCUUUAAAUACAACCUUGAUUAGACAAAUUGUGUUUUCUUGCUUAAUUUCAUUUUGUAUAUAUAACGCUUGAUGCACUGCUUUCUAAAGUUUAUAUUUUGUUU